UGGUGGAAAACACAUGCUCCUAGAUUUCCUAUUCUUUCGGAGUUGGCUCGUGAUGUGUUGGCAAUUCCAAUUUCUAGUGUGGCGUCGGAAUGCGCGUUUAGCACUGGUGGCCGUAUUCUUGAUUCAUUUAGGAGUUCAUUGACUCCUAAAUGUGUGCAAGCUCUUAUUUGUGUUCAAGAUUGGCUUAGAGAAGAGAAGAAUCCUAUUAGUGUUGAAGAAGACUUGAAGUAUCUUGAGGAACUCGAGCUUGAUAUGGAAAAUAAUGGAAGCACUACUAGCAUUGUUUGAUGUAUAGUUGCAACUUGCAUCUUGAGUGGUUCAAGUGCAAUCAUGCCCCGUGCUACUGCUCAACGCUCCGAUAUUUGGGAAUACUUUGUGGUGAAAGAAGAUAACGGAGAAGUUCGCAAAGUAGAGUGCAAACAUUGUGGUCAAGUAUAUAAUGUUAAUCCAAAGAGGAAUGGAACAAUUGGUUUAAGGAAGCAUAUUAAGCGUUGUCUUGCACGUCUUCCUGGAAUUCAUGUUUAAGAAUUAAGACUGUUUGUUGAGGGAUGCCCUCUCUGUUUUUGUUGCACUAUGUUUAACUGUUUAAGUGUUAAGACUGUUAAGA